AAAUCUUAAAUGGCUAGUCCAACGAGAGACCUUCGCGGUCUCUAGUGGCGAACGGGUGAGUAACACGUAGGGAACCCGUCCACGCACCGGGAAUACGCUCUGGAAACGGAGAACCCCCUCAAUGUACAGGAAGGAGGCAUCUUCUUUCUGUGAAACAUCCUUUAGGGGAUGGGGCGCGGAUGGACCUGCGGUGCAUUAGUUGGUUGGCGGGGUAAAGGCCCACCAAGACGAUGAUGCAUAGCCGGCCUGAGAGGGCGGCCGGCCACAUUGGGACUGAGACACGGCCCAGACUCCUGCGGGAGGCAGCAGUAGGGAAUUUUCGUCAAUGGGCGCAAGCCUGAACGAGCGAUGCCGCGUGAGUGAAGAAGGCCUUCGGGUCGUAAAGCUCUGUUGCGGGGGAAAAAAGGCAGCAUCAGGAAAUGGGUGCUGACUGAUGGUGCCCCGCCAGAAAGUCACGGCUAACUACGUGCCAGCAGCCGCGGUAAUACGUAGGUGGCGAGCGUUAUCCGGAAUGAUUGGGCGUAAAGGGUGCGCAGGCGGUCCUGCAAGUCUGGAGUGAAACGCAUGAGCUCAACUCAUGCAUGGCUUUGGAAACUGGAGGACUGGAGAGCAGGAGAGGGCGGUGGAACUCCAUGUGUAGCGGUAAAAUGCGUACAUAUAUGGAAGAACACCAGUGGCGAAGGCGGCCGCCUGGCCUGUUGCUGACGCUGACGCUCGAAAUCUUGUGUAGCGAACUGGAUUACAUACCCU
rnacentral:rRNA from 1 species